rnacentral:rRNA from 1 species
UCAAGUGACUAAGUGUAUGUGGUGGAUGCCUUGGCGAUCACAGGCGAAGAAGGACGUAGUAGCUUGCGAUAAGCUGCGGGGAGCCGGCAAACGGGCAUUGAUCCGCAGAUUUCCGAAUGGGGGAACCCACCGACGAAAGUCGGUAUCACACACUGAAUACAUAGGUGUGUGAGGCGAACGGAGCGAACUGAAACAUCUAAGUAGCUCCAGGAAAAGAAAUCAACCGAGAUUGCGAAAGUAGCGGCGAGCGAAAUCGCAGCAGCCCAGUGUUCUGAUAGCACGAACGACAGCAGAAAGGUCUGGAAAGGCCUGCUAUAGAGGGUGAUAGCCCCGUAUGCGAAAUCGGACGUGUGGUACUAAGGAACCGAUAAGUAGGGCGGGACACGUGACAUCCUGUCUGAAGAUGGGGGGACCAUCCUCCAAGGCUAAAUACUCGUGAUCGACCGAUAGUGAACCAGUACUGUGAAGGAAAGGCGAAAAGAACCCCGGGAGGGGAGUGAAAUAGAACCUGAAACCGCAUACAUACAAACAGUAGGAGCCCGUGUAGUCGGGUGACUGCGUACCUUUUGCAUAAUGGGUCAGCGACUUACGUUUUGUGGCGAGCUUAACCGAGUAGGGGAGGCGUAGCGAAAGCGAGUUCGAAUAGAGCGAGAAGUCUCAAGGCGUAGACCCGAAACCAGAUGAGCUAUCCAUGGCCAGGUUGAAGGUGUGGUAACACACACUGGAGGACCGAACCGACUAGUGUUGCAAAAUUAGCGGAUGAGCUGUGGAUAGGGGUGAAAGGCUUAACAAAUCUGGAGAUAGCUGGUUCUCCCCGAAAACUAUUGAGGUAGUGCCUCGUGUAUUGCUCCAGGGGGUAGAGCACUGUUAUGGCUAGGGGGACAUGGCGUCUUACCAAACCAUGGCAAACUCCGAAUACUUGGAAGUUUGAGCACGGGAGACAGAGCACCGGGUGCUAACGUCCGGACUCAAAAGGGAAACAACCCAGACCGCCGGCUAAGGUCCCUAAUAUUGACUAAGUGGAAAACGAAGUGGGAAGGCUAAGACAGUCAGGAAGUUGGCUUAGAAGCAGCCAUCCUUCAAAGAAAGCGUAAUAGCUCACUGAUCGAGUCCUCAUGCGCGGAAGAUGUAACGGGGCUAAGUCAAUAACCGAAAGCGCGGAUUUGCACGAUAAGUGCAAGUGGUAGGGGAGCGUUCUGUAAGCCUGCGAAGGUGGUUCGAGAGGACUGCUGGAGGUAUCAGAAGUGCGAAUGCUGACAUGAGUAACGUUAAAGCGGGUGAAAAGCCCGCUCGCCGUAAGCCCAAGGUUUCCUGCUCUACGUUCAUCGGAGCAGGGUGAGUCGGCCCCUAAGGCCAGGCUGAGAAGCGUAGUCGAUGGGAAGCAGAUUAAUAUUUCUGCACCAUGUGCAAGUGCGAUGGGGGGACGGAGUGCGAAAGAUCAUCCGGGUGUUGGAUGUCCCGGUUUGUGAGUGUAGAAGGCCGACAGGCAAAUCCGUCGGCGGAUCUUCGAGACAAAGCAUCGAGGUUCUACGGAACCGAAGUGAUCGGAAGUGCUUCCAGGAAAAGCCUCUAAGCUCCAGCUUGCAUGUGACCGUACCGUAAACCGACACUGGUGGGCGAGUUGAAUAUACUCAGGCGCUUGAGAGAACUCGGGAGAAGGAACUCGGCAAAUUGACACCGUAACUUCGGGAUAAGGUGUGCCUUUGUAGCGUGAAGAGAGAAACACUCGGAGCGUGAAGAGGCCUCAGAGAAUCGGUGGCUGCAACUGUUUAUUAAAAACACAGCACUCUGCAAAGACGAAAGUCGACGUAUAGGGUGUGAUGCCUGCCCGGUGCUGGAAGAUUAAGUGAUGGGGUGAGAGCUCCUGAUCGAAGUCCCAGUAAACGGCGGCCGUAACUAUAACGGUCCUAAGGUAGCGAAAUUCCUUGUCGGGUAAGUUCCGACCUGCACGA